UUGUACUUAAUCCCUUUUCCGUUACGAAACCCAUUAUCGGCGAUAUCUUCUUGCUUUCUACCAACGACAUGAUUUGCGCCAUUCAAUUCCUUUGAUUAAUUCCCGGAUAAUCAAUUCUAUGCGUUACGUUAGAAGAGUUAUCCUUCGAAAUAUUUCCCUACAUAAACCUCAACAGAGGGUAUCAUCUUCCCAGGUUUCUCCAUAUCUUUCUUCUGCAUACUCUCUCAAGACUAUUAGCUCUGGACCUACUUCAUUAGAAUUGCAUAUGCCAAUGGGUUUCUUCUUAUUGUUUACUGAAAGGGAGUGGACACUGAGAUACUGAGAUUAUAAGUCGUUCGUCAUACAAAUAUGAUCAUUCAUGUAGGUGCAAAAUUGGAAACAUCAGACAGCAGACAGCAGGGGAAAUGACUUAUAAUUGCCAUGAAAUGGAGCUGCUUAUUUGCAAAGAAGAUCUGAACCCUAUAAAUCUGAGCUCAUCUUCUCUAUAUUUAUGGAGAGCUUUUGGUGUGUCAGAAUAUCUGGUGGUACCGACAUUCAUUGUUCUGGCUGCUUUUGCCCGAAUGAUGCAGUACUUCUCCAUGACAUUUCAAAACUGCUGAAACUCUCUCAAGAAAAUCCCAGUCCUCAAGCAUAAGGCGAUCAACCAGAUUUGUGAAAUUAAUGGAGGUAAAUCAUGCCAGAUUUGGGUAAGCCUCACCUAUAACUGGCACUAAGCUUAUUUGAAGGGUACUUGGUACAUUUCCAGUUAUUUUACCAGGUGAUAAUUGCUAUGAUAUAUGUUGGUGCCCCAUGUUCUUCUAUCACUAAAUCUACCUAUAUAGGUUAAACCCAACAUUAACUAAUCGAUGUUAAAUAAGCAUGAAUGAGUUUGAAUUCAAUUGUAUAAUUUAGUAAUGAUCAUUUGAGAACAUUAUAAUUUGAAAACAAUGCUUGCCUUCAAACAAUAAUAAUGCCGAAUUAGCUUCAAUUAUACAAAGAUGAACCGGUAUAAAAAAGGAUUAACCAAAAUUGUAGAAGUAUACACAUCUAGGAAGGCGUUAAGAAAGUGUAACCAGGUUAGGGAACGCAACUUGGGAAGGAGCUAUAACCAGUUAUGGUAAGUUAAUGUUAAUGAAGAUGGUUGUAAAUCCUUAGCUGUGCAUUUUGGUUAUAAUGUGACACAUCCAGGCAGCAAUAUGAUCACCUCCAAAGUCACGAUUAAUGUAUUAGUAUAACUCACCCAAGGCCUAUAUGUGUUCAAUGCAUUGUGUGCCCACGAUGAUAAAAUUGUGUUUUCGUUUCAGUCCAUUUUGCUGUCUUUAUGAUUUAGUUUACUCAUUAUCAAUUGUGAUGUGUAUACAAUGGAUAAUUUGUUCGUAAUAAGGUAGUUUUAUGGUUCUGAAAUUGACGAAUUAAAAUGUAUGUCACCAUUUUCAAUUAAAAUGUUCGCCAGUUUAAGCCAAAACGUUUUUGGUUUGUCCGGUUGUUUUUUGGUUAAUGUAUUGUCCCCAUUUGUGGUGGUCAUAGAUACGAGGUUAUGAAAAAUAUGAUCUGAAGCAAUAAUUCCAUUCUUCUUAAUAUUGUGGAGUAUCAGUUUAUUAACAUUGCACUUAUAUUCUUCUUCGUUACAUUUCUAUUCUUGAAAGAAAAAACAUUCCCGCAUUAGCACUUUGGUUUUAUAGCGACUUCGGCUGGAAGGUUGUUAGUUACAGUCAUUUAGCUAAGCAUGAUAGGGUGUGUACCUUGAUUCAAUUACAUCACCCUAAAUUCUAUAGUGGUUGAUGAUGGUUUGGUUUCUUAGGAAGUGUUGUUGUUGAUUGCUCCAUUUAACUUGGUAUCAGAUGUCAAAGCAAUUAGAAGUUUGGAUUCAUUUCUGAUUUGGCUGGCAGGUUGUUCCUUUAUUUAACAAAUACUAUUGAUUGAUAAUGGUGCUAAAAAAAUUCUAUUGAUACGGUGAUACAGCUGAAGGAUCACAUCAAUCAGUUGUUCCAAGUUGUAAUCAUAGACUGUAUACAGAUCUACAUAGUCGCAAAUGGUUGUAGAAUAUGAAAAUAAAAGUAUCUCCCAAAUCAAUACAAACUAGCAGAGCUUCCCUGGGGCGCUUAAUCAUCUCUGACUCUAAGGAAGAAUUAAGAUUAUCUCUUCUUAUUUACUGACUCGAAACGCAACAAUGUCAACCCAUAUAAUAUAUAAUUCUGACCAGUUAUGAUAUAUAUU